AGUGAACGCUGGCGGUAGGCCUAACACAUGCAAGUCGAACGGCAGCACAGUAAGAGCUUGCUCUUACGGGUGGCGAGUCGCGGACGGGUGAGGAAUACAUCAGAAUCUACUUUUUCGUGGGGGAUAACGUAGGGAAACUUACGCUAAUACCGCAUACGACCUACGGGUGAAAGCAGGGGAUCUUCGGACCUUGCGCGAUUGAAUGAGCCGAUGUCGGAUUAGCUAGUUGGCGGGGUAAAGGCCCACCAAGGCGACGAUCCGUAGCUGGUCUGAGAGGAUGAUCAGCCACACUGGAACUGAGACACGGUCCAGACUCCUACGGGAGGCAGCAGUGGGGAAUAUUGGACAAUGGGCGCAAGCCUGAUCCAGCCAUACCGCGUGGGUGAAGAAGGCCUUCGGGUUGUAAAGCCCUUUUGUUGGGAAAGAAAAGCAGCAGGUUAAUACCCCGCUGUUCUGACGGUACCCAAAGAAUAAGCACCGGCUAACUUCGUG
rnacentral:rRNA from 1 species